rnacentral:rRNA from 1 species
GUGGGGAAUUUUGCGCAAUGGGGGAAACCCUGACGCAGCAACGCCGCGUGGAGGAUGAAAUAUCUUGGUAUGUAAACUCCUUUCGAUGGGGAAGAUUAUGACGGUACCCAUAGAAGAAGCCCCGGCUAACUUCGUGCCAGCAGCCGCGGUAAUACGAGGGGGGCAAGCGUUGUUCGGAUUUAUUGGGCGUAAAGGGUGCGUAGGCGGUUUGGCAAGUCUGAUGUGAAAUCUAUGGGCUCAACCCAUAGUCUGCAUCAGAAACUGCCGGGCUUGAGUAUGGGAGAGGUGAGUGGAAUUUCCGGUGUAGCGGUGAAAUGCGUAGAUAUCGGAAGGAACACCUGUGGCGAAAGCGGCUCACUGGACCAUAACUGACGCUGAUGCACGAAAGCUAGGGGAGCAAACAGGAUUAGAUACCCUUGUAGUCC